AGAUUAUGGCUCAGAUUGAACAUACGGCGGGAUACUUUACACAUGCAAGUCGAACGGCCAGCACGGACUUCGGUCUGGUGGCGAGUGGCGAACGGGUGAGUAAUGUAUCAAGGAACGUGCCUAGUAGCGGGGAUAACUACGCAGCGUAGCUAAUACCACCUUCGCCCUUCGAGAAGCGGGGGACCUUCGGGCACUCGCACUAUUAGAGCGGCCGAUAUCGGAUUAGCUAGUUGGUGGGGUAACGGCUCGCAAGGCGACGAUCCGUAGCGCUGGUUUGAAGGACGACCAGCCACACUGGGACUGAGACACGGCCCAGACUCCUACGGGAGGCAGCAGUGGGGAAUUUUGGACAAUGGGAAAUACAGUCCAGCCAUCCCGCGUGUGCAUUGAAGGCCUUCGGGUUGUAAGCACUUUUGGCAGGAAAGAAACGGCACGGGGAUAUUACCCCGUGCCUUUGACUGACCUGCAGAAUAAGCACCGGCUAACUACGUGCCAGCAGCCGCGGUAAUACGUAGGAGUGCAAGCGUUAAUCGGAAUUACUGGGCGUAAAGCGUGCGCAGGCGGUUGGAAAGAAAGAUGUGAAAUCCAGAGCUUAACUUUGGAACUGCAUUUUUAACUACCAUUUCAGAGUGUCAGAGGUGGAAUUCCGCGUGUAGCAGUGAAAUGCGUAGAUAUGCGGAGGGGAACACCGAUGGCGAAGGCAGCCUCCUGGGAUAGCUUGCAGCUCAUGCACGAAAGCGUGGGAGCAAACAGGAUUAGAUACCCUGGUAGUCCACGCCCUAAACGAUGUCAACUGGCUAUUUGAGACCGGGCCUUGGUAGCGCAGCUAACGCGUGAAGUUGACCGCCUGCAGAAUUACGGUCACAAGAUUAAAACUCAAAGGAAUUGACGGGGACCCGCACAAGCGGUGGAUGAUGUGGAAUAAUUCGAUGCAACGCGAAAAACCUUGCCUACCCUUGACAUGUCUGGAAUCCGAAGAGAUUUGGGAGUGCUCGCAAGAGAACCGGAACACAGGUGCUGCAUGGCUGUCGUCAGCUCGUGUCGUGAGAUGUUGGGUUAAGUCCCGCAACGAGCGCAACCCUUGUCAUUAGUUGCUACGAAAGGGCACUCUAAUGAGACUGCCGGUGACAAACCGGAGGAAGGUGAGGAUGACGUCAGGGUCCUCAUGGCCCGGGCUUCACACGUCAUACAAUGGUCAGGACAGAGGGUCGCCAACCCCGCGAAGGCCAAUCCAGAAACCCGUCACGUAUGGUGGAUCUGCCAGUCUGCGCUCGACUGCGUGAAGUCAGAAUCGCUAGUAAUCGCGGAUCAGCAUGUCGCGGUGAAUACGUUCCCGGGUCUUGUACACACCGCCCGUCACACCAUGGGAAUUGGGUUUUACCAAGUAGUUAGCCUAACCGUAAGGAGGCGAUUACCACGGUAGGAUUCGCGGCUGGGGGUGAAGUCGUAACAAGGUAG
rnacentral:rRNA from 1 species